GGAGGAAAAGAAGAUUGUUUCUUAAAGAGACUUUGAAAAGCCACACAAGUAGGGGUUGAUCUACGAGUCGGCAAUGGUAACCUCAACUUCAACACCAGGUUCAAUGGUGAUGGAAGUGAUCUGCUUGACCACAUCAGGAGAACUGAAGAGAUCAAUCACUCGCUUGUGUACCCGAAGUUCAAAUCUGUCCCAUGUGUUGGUUCCUGUUACAACACCAACAGUUGAAAGAGUCUCAGCCAAUGUGAAGACACAUGCAUAGACAGAGUAUAAAACAGAUGAGAUAAUCAUAAUCAUACCUUCACCACAAGGGGCUUUUCGGGUAGUGAUCUUAAGAACCUUGGUGGGCAUUCUCACUGGUCCCUUGACUCUGAGUCUCUUGUCCUUGGCUCCACGGACCAAAUCAGUGCACACUACAUAUCAUUUUCAGGAACAGAACAAAAACAAUGAUUCAGCAUUUGACCCAAAUCAUCAAAUCAAAAUCUCUACUUUGAAUCCAUUAAGUAACAACCUAAAAUGAAAAUGGUUCAGAAACAAUACAUUGGAACAUCUCUCAGAUAGUGAAAUACACUAAACUCUCAAAUUUCUCUAAGUGUAACCUAAAACUAGUGAAACACUAAAUUCUCUAGGACUGAGAGAGCUGUUCAAAAAGAUUAGGAAAAGAACAAACCUUUCUCGAGGUUCUUGACAUUCUUGGAAGAGAGAGUAAUCCUGAUCUUGUGAAUCUGCUCGAGUGGCUCUUCCAAACCCGCCUUUCCUGGUUUCAUUGGUUGAUACGACGUCAUAUUUUUCAGCUUCUUCUGUAAAAUCACAAACGCAUCAACCAAUCCAUCACAUAAACUUAAAAAAUUACCAAAAUUUCAGAUGAACAUGAAAAAUGAACAACUUGGGUAAGUGAAGAGAACCUGAGAGAGACGAACGAAGCUUGACGGCGGAUUGCUUUUUGCUGCAAGGAAGGAAGGAAUCGAAUGUUUUAACCUAAGAGACGACGUUUUAUGUAAUAUGAAAACCCUAAUUUAUAUGGACUUGUUGGGCCCAAUAUAUAGCCCAAUAACUACAGCGAUAUUUGCUCUGUUUUUGACUUCUGAUUUUGGAUUCUUUCUGUUCAUUUAGUUGCUAUUUGUGGAUUUUUUAGGAGAUUAUGGUGGUGAUAUCAGAUGUUUUGAUAGACAAAAAAUAAAAUGUUGUCCUGUCGAUGCAGAAUGCUAAUUUUAAUUUAAGCAAGACAAAAACAUUCACUGCAGAGAUUAAGAUGAUCAAAUACUUAAACUCAGGCUAUCAACUUCGUUAACCUUCACUCUUUCCAUAAGCAAAUUGUAAUUCCUUUUCCUUAUCCACAAGGCAUCUUUCAAAUUCGAAUUAUCAGCUAUCGCAAUCCCGACAGAGUCUGAGGUUGUCGUUGCUUGCUUAUCUUGUGAAUUAGUGGAAGAUUCUAUCUGGUGUGAGAAAGUUAAGCCUUUCAUCCUAACGAGGAUCAUUUUCUUGUUAGCGAUCAGCCUUUCAUCCUAUUAUCCUAACGAGGAUCAUCUUCUUGUUGUACCAUAAGUUCGAACGAUUAUUAAUGUUUUGGGAAAAUCGAAUUUUGUAGGCAAAAACAGGAAAGACAAAUUUUUAUACACCGAAACAAGUUAGCAACAAGAUCAUGGUUGUAUGAUCAAACUGACAUAAAAACCUAAACCCUUUUUAUUCUCAUCCGAGGAAUGAAUAAAGAGACAAUGGUGAUGAACUGCAUACACAUUUUCUUUAUAAGUAGUGUCAUAUACUUUAGGUGUACAAAAGUCUAGCUUUUUUUAUAAGUUUACAAUAAUUAUGCGAAAACUCAAUUUAAAACUCAAAUGUAUUCACUGUUGAAUUAUUCAAUUUUAUGUGACAUACAAAUAAAACCUGAUAUUUUGGCAUCAAUUUCUUUAAAAUGGCAUUCACAUGUGAAAAUCUUUUUCUAUCAAGUCUUUAGGUAUCAAAGAGGAUCUUAAAUUGAGAGUAGAGAACGUAAUUAUGGUCUCAUCUUGAUAGAUAGAUGUAAAUAAAAUCUCAUCAACUAAGAAAACACAAGAACUAUGGUUGUGCUACAAGAAAACAUUGGUUUGUCAAACAAAGGAAAGAAAAUUGGUUGGUUCUUGCAGAGAAUUCCAAGGAAGGAAACAAAAAGUUGAGAUCUAAGAAUCGGCGAUGGUGACCUCGACCUCGACACCAGGUUCAAUGGUGAUGGAUGUGAUUUGCUUGACCACAUCAGGAGAGCUGAAGAGAUCAAUCACUCGCUUGUGUACCCUAAGCUCGAAUCUGUCCCAUGUAUUAGUUCCUGUUACAAAACAAUAGAGUCUCAGGCAAUGUGAAGAAUCCAAACAUCAGAGCAAUCACACGCAGGGAAUAAGACCAAAAUCAGUAGUCGUUUAACUCUUGUCUCCAGUAGAGUCACACUAAUGAAAGUUGAUAAAAAGAGUCUUUUGUUCCAGAAGUUGAAGUAAUUAAAGGAAUGGUUCCAAAACCAUAAAUCCAAAACCUAAGCUAUAGUGAUUCUCAAGGCAAAAUAAAAGAUGAGAUAACCAAAAUUAUACCUUCACCACAAGGAGCUUUUCGGGUGGUGAUCUUAAGAACCUUGGUGGGCAUUCUCACUGGACCCUUGACUCUAAGUCUCU
rnacentral:lncRNA from 1 species